rnacentral:lncRNA from 1 species
UGUCUGCAUGUGAACUCUCUUGCUCUUCUAAACAACUAAGAGCUUUGUGUGUUCUUUUUCGUAUGCAUCUUCUUUAAGCAGAGAGCGCGUUUGGAAUCCUGCUUUAGCUUCCUAUAUAUCUUUGUACUUGCUUCAUUAGUCAAAUAAUGUGCUUGAGAACCUUUUUGCUUUUUAGCACCUUCUCAGUAUAGAUGGGCAAUACUACAAACAAGUAAA